AUUCAACUUCUAUAACUCACUCAACAUUAUGCAAUAUCGAAACUAUAACCGCCUAGAUAAAUCUCUCCCUCUGAUUGAAUCUAUAAUCCUAAAAAGAAUGUAUAAACAAAGAUUAUGAAAAAUAAAUAAGGAAAGGAAAAAUGCCACGAACUUACCAAUAAGUUGAUUCCCGCCCCUUGUCUCAAUAAGAUUUCUAACGAAUCCUGCUUCUCGAAGAACUUGAAGAAGCUAAUUUUAGCAAAAAUGUUAAAAGAAGAAAAGUCUAAGCUUUCAAGAAUUCUCUUAAAUUGAUUGUAAUUGGAGUUUACAACCUAUGGGCAAAUGCCUAUUUAUAGCCUUUUCUUGCUAAUCU
rnacentral:lncRNA from 1 species